rnacentral:rRNA from 1 species
CCUACGGGGGGCAGCAGUGGGGAAUAUUGCACAAUGGGGGAAACCCUGAUGCAGCGACGCCGCGUGAGUGAAGAAGCGCCUCGGCGCGUAAAGCUCUGUCAGCAGGAACGAUAAUGACGGUACCUGAAGAAGAAGCCCCGGCUAACUACGUGCCAGCAGCCGCGGUAAUACGUAGGGGGCAAGCGUUAUCCGGAUUUAGUGGGGGUAAAGGGCGUGUAGGCGGGAAAGCAAGUCAGAUGUGAAAACUCAGGGCUCAACCCUGAGCCUGCAUUUGAAACUGUUUUUCUUGAGUGCUGGAGAGGCAAGCGGAAGUCCGUGUGUAGCGGUGAAAUGCGUAGAUAUACGGAGGAAAACCAGUGGCGAAGGCGGAUUGCUGGACAGUAACUGACGCUGAGGCGCGAAAGCGUGGGGAGCAAACAGGAUUAGAUACCCGAGUAGUC